rnacentral:rRNA from 1 species
AUUGAACGCUGGCGGCAGGCCUAACACAUGCAAGUCGAACGGCAGCACAGAAGAGCUUGCUCUUUGGGUGGCGAGUGGCGGACGGGUGAGUAAUGUCUGGGAAACUGCCCGAUGGAGGGGGAUAACUACUGGAAACGGUAGCUAAUACCGCAUAACGUCGCAAGACCAAAGUGGGGGACCUUCGGGCCUCACACCAUCGGAUGUGCCCAGAUGGGAUUAGCUAGUAGGUGGGGUAACGGCUCACCUAGGCGACGAUCCCUAGCUGGUCUGAGAGGAUGACCAGCCACACUGGAACUGGGAAACGGUCCAGACUCCUACGGGAGGCAGCAGUGGGGAAUAUUGCACAAUGGGCGCAAGCCUGAUGCAGCCAUGCCGCGUGUAUGAAGAAGGCCUUCGGGUUGUAAAGUACUUUCAGCGGGGAGGAAGGCGAUACGGUUAAUAACCGUGUUGAUUGACGUUACCCGCAGAAGAAGCACCGGCUAACUCCGUGCCAGCCGCCGCGGUAA